AUUGAACGCUGGCGGCAGGCCUAACACAUGCAAGUCGAGCGGAUGAAGGGAGCUUGCUCCUGGAUUCAGCGGCGGACGGGUGAGUAAUGCCUAGGAAUCUGCCUGGUAGUGGGGGAUAACGUCCGGAAACGGGCGCUAAUACGCAUACGUCCUGAGGGAGAAAGUGGGGGAUCUUCGGACCUCACGCUAUCAGAUGAGCCUAGGUCGGAUUAGCUAGUUGGUGGGGUAAAGGCCUACCAAGGCGACGAUCCGUAACUGGUCAGAGAGGAUGAUCAGUCACACUGGAACUGAGACACGGUCCAGACUCCUACGGGAGGCAGCAGUGGGGAAUAUUGGACAAUGGGCGAAAGCCUGAUCCAGCCAUGCCGCGUGUGUGAAGAAGGUCUUCGGAUUGUAAAGCACUUUAAGUUGGGAGGAAGGGCAGUAAGUUAAUACCUUGCUGUUUUGACGUUACCAACAGAAUAAGCACCGGCUAACUUCGUG
rnacentral:rRNA from 1 species